UACAGAGAGUGCAAACGUUGUUCGGAAUUACUGGGCUUAAAGCGCACGUAGGCGGCGUCGUAAGUGUCGGGUGAAAUCCCACGGCUCACCCGUGGAACUGCCCGGCAUACUGCGGCGCUAGAGUGUGGUAGGGAAGAGCGGAACUCCUGGUGGAGCGGUGAAAUGCGUAGAUAUCAGGAGGAACACCGGUGGCGAAGGCGGGUCUCUGGGCCGAUAUUGACGCUGAGGAGCGAAAGCGUGGGGAGCAAACAGG
rnacentral:rRNA from 1 species